ensembl:lncRNA
CACACACACACACACACACACAUAUAUAUAUAGAUAGAUAGAUAGAGGUAAAUAUGAUAUAGGUAUGUCUUUAUUAUAUAACCUUUUGAUCUUUUGUUUAAAAAAAUUCACAAAAAUACUCUGCUCUCAUAUCAAACAGCUGAAAAUAAAACACAGGUUUAUCCAAAAAUACAUCUUUAUUAAAUAUAAGUGUGCAACAAUUAUUGGCACCCUUUAAGUCAAUACUUUGUACUACCUCCCUUUGCCAAGAUAACAGCUCUGAGUCUACUCCUAUAAUGCCUGGUGAGGUUGGAGAAUACAUGGCAAGGGAUCUGAGACCAUUCCUCCAUACAGAAUCUCUCCAGAACGAUCCUCUUCACAUUGUGUCGAGACAAUAUAGUCACAUGUCCUUUUCCAGGUUGAUUCAUAACAUUUCUGGUUGACUUGGUCUUCCCCAUUGUUAUGAAUGACUAAUGUCUAAUGACUAAUGUGUUACCUUAUAUUAUACCCGUCAUGGUUGAAUAAUUUCCUGAUCGUGAUCACGCAGGUGUACAAGCAGUGUAAAAUAUCAAUUGGAAAAUACUUCAAAUACAUUUUUUCUCUUGUGAAUUCAUAGUGGUGGCAAUAAUUGUGGCACACAUUUAUAUAUAUGUGGCACACACAAUAUAUAUAUAUUGUUUGCAAUUGUUUGAUGUCCAUGAGAGCAGAGUAUUUUUGUGAUUUUUUUUUAAGCAAAAUAUCAGAAGGUUAACAAUAAAUGCAAAUAUUUCACAGCCUUCUUUGCUCAUAUUUACCAAGGGUGCCAAUGUGUGUACAUUUGAAGUGGAUAUAUGCACUGGAAGUAUAUUAAAUUACAAAGUGUCGGAAUACGCCUUUCCCCUCACGGUAAGUGUAAACGAGUGUGAAUGUGUGUGAAUGGAACCUGGCUAUAUUCCCACCUUGCACCCAGAGUUUCAGGGAUAGGCUCCAGAUCCACGGCGACCCAAAUCAAGAUAAAGCAAUUAAUUAAAGUGAGUGAGUGAGAGAGUGAAAGAGACUGAGAGACUCAAUGACCAAAAAGCAAGGAUGGGGUUUUCUGCUUUUCUCUGUUUCUCUAAAACUGUGUCCAUUAACAAAGAGCAUUACUUUGGCUCAAGACAAACUUUUCCUACACGGUGUCUACUGGCGCAUCAGCCUAGAACAUUAAUAGCUGUGUGCGUGUAUGUGUGUGUGGACAGGCAGUCAUUAGUGUGAGCAGGAAGCAUAGCAUGGCCCACUGAAUUAAUGACCUCACAGUAGGAGAGGGAAGCAGCUGGACAGACCUCGACUCACUGAUUUCAGAGGAUAUAUGCAAGAGAGUGAGAGAGAGAGAGAGAGAGAGAGAGAGAGAGAGAGAGAGAGAGAGAGAGAGAGAGAGAGAACAAUACGUUCUGCCUGAGCACAGUGUGACUCCAAUAAACACCCUUAAGUUAUUUUACUCAAAAAGUUUAACCAGUGUGCAUUUAAUAAUAAACACAUCCCAGGCUUUAAUACAAUUUUAAUUAAAAAAAAAAUGUACCAAUGGAAAAAAAAAGUCAGAAAUCAUUUUUGUAGAGCAAAGCUCUUAUAUACAGCAUAUUGCACUAUAUAACAUUGUCUAAAACUUCUAUACUGUAUCAAAACGUACGAAAACAACACGUUCCAGAGUGCACAGUACAGUCUCGCAGACACACAGUUCAAUGUUUACAACAAAUGCUACAUUUUCGCUGGGUCUCAUUUCUUGGUAUACAGAGAAUUGUGAGCCUCAAGACAAUUUUUUUCUUUUCUUUUUUUUAAACUUCUGAACUAAAAGGCUUUUAGCCAUGUCUAUAAUUGUAAAAUUUUACAAUAAUAGGUUUCUGGCAAUUUAAAAAAAAAUACAGUGUAGUUUAUUACAAAUGCCAAUUGAUAAAGAUAAAAAUAAAAAAAAUCCCUCUAUGCUUUAUUUUAAAAAGAAGAACAAGAUUGGAUUUUGUAUUAGGAGAAUGCCAGGAGAGGCUUCUUAGAAGAACACUGGAAUAUAGAUAUAUUUUUUAAAACAACAACUACGAGAUUGGACAAAAAUAUUACAAAAUAUUUUCCAGUGCAUGUAAAUCAAGAAAAUAGUGGAUACAGUGAAGACAUGCUAACUCAUUAACAUGGCCCAGUGUCUUGAUUAAUCUUUCCUACCCUGUUUUCAUCAUUGAGAGAUUAUAUUAUAUUGAAACAUUUGAAUGAAACCUGGUAGGAGACAGUGAGCAUCAUGGAAACGAGGUCAAUGAGAAUGGUGACCACAAGCUUUCAUUCACUGUUGUAUUAUGGGCAACGCAUUUCUUCGGGGACUUUUCUGUCUAGUAAUAAUGUUUAUGUAUAUGCAAUGUUUCAAAGGAUUCUAAAAAUAGGUUUCAAUUAUAUUUAAUGCAAUAUAAAGGUAGACAGGUGACGAAUUAAAGGUGUUGGGCCACCACAACAACAUUUAUUGUACUUAUUUCUUAUUUAUAUACGGUAUAAACAAAUACUGUGUGUGUGUGUGUGUGUGUGUGUGUGUGUAUACGCAUGUAUG